UACGGAGGGGGCUAGCGUUGUUCGGAAUUACUGGGCGUAAAGCGCACGUAGGCGGCUUUGCAAGUCAGAGGUGAAAGCCCGGGGCUCAACCCCGGAAUAGCCUUUGAGACUGCAUCGCUAGAAUUGUGGAGAGGUAAGUGGAAUUCCGAGUGUAGAGGUGAAAUUCGUAGAUAUUCGGAAGAACACCAGUGGCGAAGGCGGCUCACUGGCCCGGUACUGACGCUGAGGUGCGAAAGCGUGGGGAGCAAACAGG
rnacentral:rRNA from 1 species